GGAAAAAGGAAGUGUCACUCUCUUUCCCCUCGGCUCCUGCUCCAGCGGCACGAUGUGAUCCACCAGCUAGGAGGGACGCCAAUAAGGCGUCUGAUAAGAUAAAAAAUCAAAAGCUGUGAUUCCUUCCAGACUAAUAUGGUUUGAUCAAGCAAGACCCCCUGAAGCUGAGAUGAUACAGCCUUACAGACUAUAAAAACAAGGACUUGGUCAGGUUUCUAUGUUUUAUCAUGAUCCUAAUGGUAUAUGAACAUCGCCCCCAAUCAGCAGGAAGCAGUUUAGAAAGAACGACGCCCAUAUUCCCAAGUAUUGUUUAUAAAUGUUUUUUUCAUUUAAAUGAGGUUAGUUAUAAAUGAUAAUGAGCAUAGUCAAUCUCUUUUUAAAGAAAGAAAAGGGGAAUAGGAUAUAGGAAUGAAUACUUUAAAUUGGUAAAGAUUUUCAUUUAUUGAUACAACUUUAAGGUCAGUUUUGUGAUAUGUAUAUGUCUACUCUUGUUUAGGUAUUGUGUUUAUACAGAUCUUUUACCUAUAAUAGUCAGAACUUAUAAUUAGGUUAGUUAGGUUUUCUAGAUAUAGAGAUGUAUUUGAGAUGGUUAGGUAUUCUUCAAACCUUUCAAAGACCUACAGAAAUAUGGCAUUUAAAUGGUUUAGGGUUUUUCUUGGCAGUGAGACACAACUGCUCCUGGCACACCAAUUAUGUCAGAAAGGAGGAUGGGCAUCAAAGAAACUCGUUAUGGAGUUUGCUUUCAACAUGGCAAGACUAGCCAUUUGGGCAAGAAACUGCUCUUUCCUGGACUGUUUGUUGCUGUAUAAAUUGGACAUACAGGACCCACAAGAAAAUGACUGCUAAACUUACAAAACUGAAGGAUUCCUGUUAAAAUGGAGGAGUGUGCUAGACAUACUGUGGCCUAUAGGCUAAAGAUGGAUGCCCCAACAUUUACAGAGGAACUUUGGGUGACUGUCCAGGUAGCAAGAUGUCCUGUCAAUUCUAGAGUUUAUAUAUUAUCCUUCUGUGGUCUUUGAUAGAGUUAAAGACAGAUAGUUAUGGUUAUAGUUUUCUUCAGUUAUUAUAAAAAAUAAGUUACCCUUCUUUUUAUUUAGACAGAAAAGAGGAGAUGAUGGGGGAAAUACUUCUGUGUAUGUUUAUAAAUAAAGUACUUGCUUGGCCAAUGAGACAGCAGGUUAGGCUGGACUAGCAGUCAAAGAGGAUUCUGGGAAAUGUAGUAGAGAAGUGGUGUUCCAGACAGGAAGUGACAUAGCAAGGAGACUCAUAUUUAAAAAGAGGA
rnacentral:lncRNA from 1 species